CAGCUAGUAUCUUUCCUCAGUAACAAACUUCAGACUCCAGCGAAUCAUCCCACUCCAGAGGUUCACUCUGUCUCAGUUUCCAUUCCUUCUUCUUCCAGCACUUGUCCUAUAUCCGGAUCCUACACGGGAAUUAAUGAUUGGAAUGGGUAGAGAAGUGGCAAACCUUUACUUCCUGGAUAUAGAGUCAUUGUCUUCUACAGGUACUUUACAAAAUGUCGUUGUUGCUUCUGUUUCUAGUAUCGAUCUAUGGCAUAAGAGAUUAGGACACCCUUCUAUGUCCAAGCUUGAGUCUAUGCAUUCUGUUCUAGCUUUUCCUAAGCAACAUACACUUGAUCCUCAUUGUAAAAUUUGCCAUUUAUCAAAACAAAAACAUCUCCCUUUUGUGUCUCAUCAUAAUAUCAGUAAAAACCCUUUCGAUCUGCUUCAUAUAGAUACAUGGGGACCCUUUUCCACUCCUACUCACGAUGGCUUUAAAUAUUUUCUCACCAUUGUUGAUGAUUGUUCUAGAG